CAGCAGCCGCGGGAAUACGGAGGAUCCAAGCGUUAUCCGGAUUUAUUGGGUUUAAAGGGUGCGUAGGUGGCCUGUUAAGUCAGGGGUGAAAGACGGUAGCUUAACUAUCGCAGUGCCCUUGAUACUGAUGGGCUUGAAUGAACUAGAGGUAGGCGGAAUGUGACAAGUAGCGGUGAAAUGCAUAGAUAUGUCACAGAACACCAAUUGCGAAGGCAGCUUACUAUGGUUUUAUUGACACCGAGGCACGAAAGCGUGGGGAUCAAACAGGAUUAGAUACCCCUGUAGUCCCUGUCUCUUAUAA
rnacentral:rRNA from 1 species